GUCCAUGAUAUAAACGAACUGUAGAGGCAUUUCCCUUCAAUAAUGGGUCCUGCCUGCCAUGUGGAGCUUCAUUAGCGAAUAUCUGAAUCAAGCAAUUGAUAACACUGAGGAAAUUAGAGAUACGGGUGACGACUGUUACAUUCCUCAUAUAUCUUCAGAUCUAUGAGUGAAAUCGAUUACCAGUUGAAGAGCUGAGGCUGUGAGACCUGUGUUAACAAAGGGGAAACCUUCAUGGGUUCGCACUGUUAUCACACAGUUGUCUCUCUGCUUGGCUGUCUUGCUUGCAUUCAACUUGGGUCGGCCUUGGGAGAAGCCCAUGUCCCACAGCAGCAGUGGCAAUAGCAGGCCUCUUGAUCUUUACUUUAUCAGUGAUUUAGACCUCUCAAUCAACAGACCCAUCUUCUCAAACAGAUGGAGAAGGCCGCAAUGACUUAUAAGGCAAGGUUUGUGAUAAACAUUAGUGAACUUGGGGAAGACGAUCCACUCACACAGAAUGUACAGUACGAGAGUUUCAAGAGGAUGAGGAACAGGUUACUUCCUAAAGCAGAUCAAAAUACCUUUUGGGAAAACCUUAGACAUUAUUGGUUUGGAUACUGGGGCAUUUAAGGAUUUUAUGCUUAUAAUCCGUUAAAUGGUGCUGGAAAUGAUCAAUUACAUGGGCUGACAAAGACACUAGAAACAUCAGAUAGCGACUGGCGCAUAGUUGUUGGUUUCUGCUCAUUGGCUGUUUGUGAAGGAAACAGGGAACGAAUAGAAAUACAACUUUAUGAGCAUCUACACCAUAUUUUUUGUAAGUUUAGAGUGGAUGUGUACCUUAGUGGGGAGGGAUGUAGUGACUAUGCUUGUAAAGAUAGUAUAGCCUACAUCAGGAACCCAGGUUCAAUAGAUGAAAAACUCUCUCUUGCUUCUGUAAAUGGAAUAGCAGGUUUUAGUAAGUGAGUAUUUCUGUUCAUAGUUCCUAAUGGUGUUCUACAUUGGUUCAUACAUAUGAAACUAUGAAGUUUCUGUGAUUUUUUUCUUUGUUUCCUCAGGGGAAUGGUUAAUGGGUUCCUUCUUCAUAGAGUCAGCUCCUUAGAGGUUGUGAGUAUUCAUCUUUUUUGACUAAAUUUGUUCUUGUUGAAGCACCAAAAAAUGUUCUUUUUCCAUGGCAGGAAACCUACUUUGUUAACUCAGCAGGGGAAGUUGUGCAUGAUAUAGUACUUCAACAGAGGGGCAAGGCAGCCAUGUAAUUUCUCAGCAAGGGGAAACUGUUAGGUGUAAAUAAGGAGGAGGAGCUAGCUUUGGAUGAUGGGCUAACCAUUUUGGUUUGCAUCUUCACACAUUGAUAAAAGGGCUUGGCAGCCAUGGGAAGAUGGAGGUCUGGCAUUGCCUAUGCUGACAUUUGGUAAUGAAGAAGUAAUUCUGCUUUCAUGGGGCUAUAAAUAGAUACCAUGGGACCGCAUAAAGCUAUGUGGACAAGGCUUGUAAUUUUUGCAGAUCUGCCUUGACCAGGCUCUCAUCAAGUAAUCUCUUCCUUUCCUUCUUUCAUCUUGUUUAACCAUUUUGGAGCUAGUGGAUAUGAAGCUUGGUUAUUUGGGAACUUGGGAGUAGAGUCUGUGUAGCUUUGGCAUGUAGGUUUGAGAGGGUGAUGAUGGUUGAUUCCAUGGUGUUAUACGAAUCCUUGGUGUAUGGCUUUUAAUAAAUGGUUUCUGGGAUGAUGGUUCCAGGCUUGAGAUUUUGUCUGGCUGGCAAGAAAAUAAAGGAAAGGAAAUGGAGCUAGUUAUUGAUCAA